rnacentral:rRNA from 1 species
CGCGCAGGCUGUGCUGCAAGUCAGCUGUGAAAUGUCUGGGCUUAACCCGGGCAUGCGGUUGAGACUGCAGUGCUGGAGUGCUGUAGAGGCAAGUGGAAUUCCCAGUGUAGCGGUGAAAUGCGUAGAUAUUGGGAAGAACACCGGUGGCGAAGGCGACUUGCUGGGCAGCAACUGACGCUGAGGCGCGAAAGCCAGGGGAGCAAACG